AUAGAGCAACAGCUUCUAUGCGGUUUCUUGUUAGCCCCGUUAAUCUUCUUCUCAGUCGCCAAACUUGCUGAAGAUUAUCGGGGUUUUCACUU
rnacentral:antisense_RNA from 11 species